AAGAGGCUCUAAAACAUCUCAUUCUGAACUGAACAGACUAAAAUCUUGUGACCUCAGAAGGAUUUUGAAUAAAAAUGUAAUGAACAUGUUUUGUUUGGCCCACAGACCGACCCAAACAUUUUCAGGUCACGUUUAAAGUGUAUGGAAGUAUUUUGGUGUCUUGAUCUCGUUGAUGUCGUCUCUUCCAGAAGCCGAUGUGAUCAUUUUGAUCCGGUGGCCAGAGGUUCUGCUGCUGCCUGGACCGUCCUACCAUCCAACCGGGUCGUGACCCCAGUCUGUUGUUCAGAUGAUCUUCUUCAUCUCUUUGGAUCGUUUGAACAAACUUUUAAUCUGUUAAUGACAGUUAAUCUACAGGAUUAUUAGAUUACUGAUGAACUGGAAUCAAACGACAUGAUGAACAGCUGAUGUUUCUCUGUUUUCUUCUUUGAACAAACUGCUUCAUUUUUGUGUUUCCUGGUAUCAAAUUCUUGUCUCCACCAAUAAAGUCAAACUCAACAGUUUCCUGUUGCUCCCUUUCAAAAUAAAAGAUAUUGUUAAAAUG